AGAGUUUGAUCCUGGCUCAGAACGAACGCUGGCGGCGUGCCUAACACAUGCAAGUCGAGCGCGAAAAGGGCAACCUGAGUAGAGCGGCGCACGGGUGCGUAACACGUGGGUAAUCUGCCUCAAAAUCUGGGAUAACCUUCCGAAAGGUUGGCUAAUACCGGAUAAGCUCACGAGGUCUUCGGACUUUGUGGGAAAAGGUGGCCUCUAUUUAUAAGCCAUCAUUUUGAGAUGAGCCCGCGGCCCAUCAGCUAGUUGGCGGGGUAAAAGCCCACCAAGGCUACGACGGGUAGCUGGUCUGAGAGGACGAUCAGCCACACUGGAACUGAGACACGGUCCAGACUCCUACGGGAGGCAGCAGUGGGGAAUUUUGCACAAUGGGCGAAAGCCUGAUGCAGCAACGCCGCGUGUGUGAUGAAGGUCUUCGGAUCGUAAAGCACUUUCGACCGGGACGAACAACCUCUGGGUAAUUCUCAGGGGCCUGACGGUACCGGAGAAGAAGCACCGGCUAACCCUGUGCCAGCAGCCGCGGUA
rnacentral:rRNA from 1 species